AAAGGGAGCAAUCCUGAGUAAAGUGGCGAACGGGUGAGUAACACGUAGGUAAUCUACCCUAAAGUCUGGAAUAACCUGCCGAAAGGCGGGCUAAUACUGGAUAGAGCGAAGGGAUCCGUAAAGGGUUUUUCGGGAAAGGGAGGAAGCAAUUCCCUUUGCUUUAGGAUGAGCCUGCGUCCCAUCAGCUAGUUGGUAAGGUAAAAGCUUACCAAGGCUAUGACGGGUAGCUGGUCUGAGAGGAUGAUCAGCCACACUGGAACUGAAACACGGUCCAGACUCCUACGGGAGGCAGCAGUGGGGAAUCUUGCGCAAUGGGCGAAAGCCUGACGCAGCCACGCCGCGUGAGUGAAGAAGGCCUUAGGGUUGUAAAGCUCUGUCGCCCGGGACGAAAAGCUUUAAGGUGAAUAGCCUUAGAGUGUGACGGUACCGGGAAAGGAAGCACCGGCUAACUCCGUGCCAGCAGCCGCGGUAAUACGGAGGGUGCAAGCGUUGCUCGGAAUUAUUGGGCGUAAAGGGCAGGUAGGUGGUCUCAUUUGUCCGGGGUGAAAUCCUUGAGCUUAACUCAAGAAGUGCCCCGGAGACGGUGAGACUAGAGUUUUGGAGAGGGUCGUGGAAUUCCCGGUGUAGCGGUGAAAUGCGUAGAGAUCGGGAGGAACACCAGAGGCGAAAGCGGCGACCUGGACAAUGACUGACACUCAACUGCGAAAGCGUGGGGAGCAAACAGGAUUAGAUACCCUGGUAGUCCACGCUGUAAACGAUGGGUACUAGAUUUGGCGGGUCUUGACCCCUGCUG
rnacentral:rRNA from 1 species